AGUUAGUUUUCGGGCCUGGGGGCUUUCGGCUUGGGAUGCCUGUGUCUUCUCUGGGCUUCUCUUUGUUCUUCGACCUCUACUAGUGCUUAGGUCCAGCUGGGUCGUGGGGAACUCAUUCGCUUGCUUUUCUCAUGCUUUGUGGGAGAGGUGGGUCGUCUUUGUCCUUCGUUUCUUUGCGUCUGCUGGGGCUCCAGUGACGGCGGCUUGGGUUUCCAGGAGGCUAUUGAUUUCAUCUGGCUGCACUCGACUAUGAUUCGUUGUGGGUGCUGAUUUUCGGAUUGGUUCGAGGAUUUUAGUUCCUCUUGCCCUUCAUUGAACCUCUAAUCUUGUUCGGUUGUUAACGGGAAUAGGUUCCCUGCGCCAUUGUAUUUUGUUCCUCGGCUAGCUCACCGUUUCAUGUUGGCUGCUGUUUUGGCAUUAUCAAGGUCAGGAUUAGGAAAUCUGCAUUCGAGUUUAAUUUGAUCACACCCUUAAUUUGUAUAAUCAUCCAUAGAGUGUGAUUGUAAUUUUUGUUUUGUUUCAUACGUGGCAAUCUGAUUGGUGGGGGGCACCUGGGGUUGAACACUUGCAGUGCUUUCAAUCUGACUGCUUGGUGUUCCAGAUUGCCAUAGUCUUCGAGACAGAUAUGGUUUUUAUAAUUACAACUGAAUAUUUUAGAACAUUGCUGUGAUUAAAGUCCUCCAGGCAGAUUUAGGAUGGAUGUACUGAGUCAUGAAACAAUCUUUCGCUCACUGAGUAGGGUUAGAAGUUUGGGCAAAAGCUUGUAAUAGGAAGUGUUCAAGUGAGUUAUGUAAAUGAAAUGAUGUACUCAAGAUGGGUUUUAAUUACAUGUUCCUGUGUAUGAAAAAGAAUGGACAUUUUGAAAUGUUAGAAUGAGACAUUUCGGGGA